GCUGACUCACUCGCUGACCUUCCUGAGAAAGUCUGUCUGCUGCAAAAGCCAUCGUCGUCUCCUAAGGUCAGGUUCUACUCAAACUGCAGAUGAUGAAAAUUAUGACAUAUUUCAUCUGCUUUCCUUCAACAACCAUCCUCUGUGACAAGCAGGAACUGUCCUACUGUCCUACUGUCUUCCUAUGAUCUCUCCAUCUCCCCCUUCCUUACUUGGACAAUUAACUAUGGCAAUGAGUCCUGUUUUCUGCACCAGAUUCUUCUGCCGGGACUACAGGAUGUGCGUGAAUCAAAGACAGCCUGACCAGAUUGUGGAGAGAGGCACACCCAGCGACGGUCCUGCAGCUCUCCUUGGGAUUAAGGCAGCUACUGUUGGCAACGCUUCUUGUCUGUCUGAGGGACAAGGUGGGACUGGGGAUGGGGUUGGGCUAUGGACUCUGUUUACUAGCUGAAGGACCCAUACAUAGCCAGCUUCACGCCUAUUCUGAAAGUCUGUGUAUGCCUCCAAGGUACCUUAUGUUCCUGUCAAAUAUGUAGCUGAACUUGUGCACUUUUUUCACCCCAGAACAAUGCAGUAAAGUGCAAGGCCCUCCUGCAAUGCCCUGCCUGUUUCCACCACCUCCUUAGGGUGCUUGGAUUUACAGGUCAUGGAAAGCUAUCUACUCAAAAAGGGUUCUAGGUGCUCUUGGAAAAAUGAUAUAGAACUGCUUCAUAUGGCACACUGAAAUGAAAAUCCCUGGCCCUGCCAACUCACAGUCCUUGUCACAACCUGACAAGAAAGGCUGUCUUAUCACUAAAGAAUCUCUAUCGAAGACAUAGGGCAGAACUAACCAGCUAAAAUUUAGGUUUAUGGGGUAAACUUGCCUCGAUCCUACACUACACUAUUCUUGAGGGCACCUGCCAAAGAAGGUCUGUAAAAUAGAUGCAUCACAUACAUUGGAUAAGCCAUGCCUUUUAAGAGGCUCUUUGCAGUCACUAAAGCAGGCCAGCUCCGAUAACCAGCCCACAUGAGACAACGUUUGGAUGGCUAUGUGUAGUUCAGGUGGGUUUUACCUUUGGCUAAGGCUAAAUACAGCACGCAGUCACAGAUGCUGGCCAAAUCCAAACCCUGCUCUGAUCAGCAACCAUCCCCUCUGCUGUGCUUCCUAGAUAUAAACCUACCUAGGAUGGGCAAGAUUAAGUGAAGAAUUGCCCAGAUCAGGUACCAUCCUCUUCCAAGCUAACAAAAGGGAUCACUGCAUGUGGGCAAGUGAGCUGUACUACUACAAAGAGGUUCAAGUUGGGUUAGCAAAUUGCUUUUUCCAUCUGUACUAAUGGAACACACUGUUAUUUAGGGAAGUCUUCUGUGCUUUGGGAAAGCUCUAACUUGUUGCUAUAGGCACGUAAGGAUGCUGAGGAACAAAACAUGACAUUCUUACAACCUUUUUGGCUUGGCAUGUUUUGAAGGAGAAAAUAAAGAAUUCAAAAAUAGUUCCCA
rnacentral:lncRNA from 1 species